UGGGGAAUAUUGGACAAUGGGGGAAACCCUGAUCCAGCGACGCCGCGUGUGUGAAGAAGGCCUGCGGGUUGUAAAGCACUUUUAGUGGGGACAAAAAGCUACGGAUUAAUACUCUGUGGUCUUGAUUUAACCCAAAGAAAAAGCACCGGCUAACUCUGUGCCAGCAGCCGCGGUAAUACAGAGGGUGCGAGCGUUAAUCGGAAUUACUGGGCGUAAAGCGCGCGUAGACGGUUUUGUAAGUCAGAUGUGAAAUCCCUGGGCUCAACCUGGGAACUGCAUUUGAGACUGCAUGGCUAGAGUAUCGAAGAGGGAAGUGGAAUUUCCGGUGUAGCGGUGAAAUGCGUAGAUAUCGGAAGGAACACCAGUGGCGAAAGCGACUUCCUGGUCGAAUACUGACGUUCAUGUGCGAAAGCGUGGGGAGCAAACAGGAUUAGAUACCCUGGUAGUCCACGCCAUAAACGAUGACAACUAGAUGUUGGGAGGGUCUGCCUCUCGGUGUCGCAGCUAACGCGUUAAGUUGUCCGCCUGGGGAGUACGGCCGCAAGGUG
rnacentral:rRNA from 1 species